UACGUAGGGGCCGAGCGUUGUCCGGAGUUACUGGGCGUAAGGCGCGCGCAGGCGGCUCGUCAAGCCUGACGUGAAAGCCCCCGGCUCAACCGGGGAGGGUCGUCGGGGACUGGCGGGCUUGAGGUCGGCAGGGGUUGGUGGAAUUCCCGGUGUAGUGGUGAAAUGCGUAGAGAUCGGGAGGAACACCCGUGGCGAAGGCGGCCAACUGGGCCGGACCUGACGCUGAGGCGCGAAGGCGUGGGGAGCGAACGGG
rnacentral:rRNA from 1 species